rnacentral:rRNA from 1 species
GACGAACGCUGGCGGCGUGCUUAACACAUGCAAGUCGAACGGGAUUUAGUAGACAGAAACCUCGGUGGAAGAUUACUAAUGAGAGUGGCGAACGGGUGAGUAACGCGUGAGCAACCUGCCUAUGACAGUGGGAUAGCCUCGGGAAACCGGGAUUAAUACCGCAUAAAAUCGUAGAAACACAUGUUUCAACGGUCAAAGAUUUAUCGGUCAUAGAUGGGCUCGCGUCUGAUUAGCUAGUUGGUGAGAUAACAGCCCACCAAGGCGACGAUCAGUAGCCGGUCUGAGAGGAUGAACGGCCACAUUGGAACUGAGACACGGUCCAAACUCCUACGGGAGGCAGCAGUGGGGAAUAUUGCACAAUGGGGGAAACCCUGAUGCAGCGACGCCGCGUGAACGAAGAAGGUAUUCGUAUCGUAAAGUUCUGUCCUAUGGGAAGAUAAUGACAGUACCAUAGAAGAAAGCUCCGGCUAAAUACGUGCCAGCAGCCGCGGUAAUACGUAUGGAGCGAGCGUUGUCCGGAAUUAUUGGGCGUAAAGGGUACGCAGGCGGUUUAAUAAGUCGAAUGUUAAAGAUCGGGGCUCAACCCCGUAAAGCAUUGGAAACUGAUAAACUUGAGUAGUGGAGAGGAAAGUGGAAUUCCUAGUGUAGUGGUGAAAUACGUAGAUAUUAGGAGGAAUACCAGUAGCGAAGGCGACUUUCUGGACACAAACUGACGCUGAGGUACGAAAGCGUGGGGAGCAAACAAG